UUACUUAAAGACGAUUAACUAAAAUCAACUACUCGUUUUCCAUAAAUAGUACUUGAAAAUAUUCCAAAAAUCACAUCUACAAAUACGUUAUGUUAUGUUAUGCUACACACUCCAUUACUAAGUGAAUCACGAGGAGCUCUUGUCUUCGACAAAAACCCUUCAAACACAUCCAAAACAAAAUUCAGACAAAUGGCGUUACAUUUUAAGAGAAAUAUGAUUGUAAAGGAUCUGACUGUGAUGCUUGUCACGUCAUGGAUGAUGAUGGUGACGAUGGUAUUCAAGAUGAUGGUGGAAACAUUUUGGAUAGUGAUCGGAAAGUAUACAGUCUCUUGGGGACUUGACUUAUGGGUGCGUCUCGAGUUGAUGCUUCUCAAAUAUGAGAUGGAGAGCAUUAGUGAUGCUUAUGUUGUUCCCUACGAUUACUACAAGUUAUCGUCGACUCAGUUUUUCAAAAGUUAGAUCUGAUGCAGCCGUUCACCAGAAGUGUUCGUUGACAUUUGUGGAAUGUUGAAAAGAAUGUUGAUAUAAAUGAAGUUUGCAAACUUGUGAGAAGCGUAAGAUUGUGAACUUUUCUUUAUAUUUGUUAAAUUUGUUUUAGAUUUCCAAACCUUGCACCGAAUAUUAUAUAUGUGUAGGUUAUUGAAGGAAUAUACGUUAUGAAAACUCAGUGAAGAAUCUAAGAUUUUUUAAGUAUGAAUGUACUAUUAUAAUAAUUUUUGUUUUGGAGAAUGUAUUAUGAUUAAAGAAUUUGGAUUUCUUUA